rnacentral:rRNA from 1 species
AGUGAACGCUGGCGGCAGGCCUAACACAUGCAAGUCGAACGGCAGCACAGCAGUAGCAAUACUGUGGGUGGCGAGUGGCGGACGGGUGAGGAAUACAUGGGAAUCUGCCCUGUCGUGGGG